UCUUCAAGUUGUCACGCGCCAAGCUUUUGUCACCAUGUGAAGCAACGUCAUCGUGGUAACCCCCUUGAUCCGUAACUCAGCAGACCUAAGUUCAAAUCCCCACAGCUGCCAUAUAAAUCCAACCUUAUUCUUGUUUUUGCUUCAGAUCUGGCGCUGAGAUAUGCUUCAAUUUCGGUGGAGCCUUCCCGUAUUCAACAUCACCAGCCUAGCCCAUUUGAUCCGCCGAUGGGCCUUGGCCCAGGUUCCUUCCCAGGCGCUACUCCUCUAUCCGUCGCCAGCAGCAUGCCGGUUCUGGCCCAGGACAACGCAGCAUUUGCUUCUUCCCGGAUAGGAUCGCCAAGUGGUGUGGUGAGAUA